GCCCCUGCCCCAAGCACCGGCCGGACGCCGGGCCGCAGCGGGGCCGCCGCCGGGUGUGGACAGAGGAGCCGGCCGCCCGCGCCCAUCCCCCGCCCGCGGCGGAAACGUCUCCGGUUUGAAAGAUGCCGCCGCAGCCGCCCCCUGCCCGCCGAGCCACAAAGGGCCGAACCCCCUCCAGCCGCAGCCCUUCUUCCCUAGCUCUCCACAGGUCGCCCCCGGGUCCCCCGCCCGGGGCUGGCGACGCCUCCUCACCCGAGUCCCUCAGUCCUGAGGGUCGCGAUCCAGUGCGGCCGGCGGCGCCGAAGACGCUGGGCCCCAGGAGCGCGGCGGCGGGGGCGUGGCCCUCCCGCGGCGGCUAGGGCCGGGGUCUCGCCUCCGCCUCCCUAAGAGGAAGGCUGGCGCCGCCGCCUCCCCUUCCUUCCGGUUUCCCCUCGCGCCCUCCCUCGGCCGCUCAGUCCUGAGCGGAAAACUGCGUCCUCUUUGGGCGCCGCCGCACGCUCCUCUGGGCCCGACCACCGCCAGACUCCUCCCCCGGGAGCCGCACAGCCCGCCCUCGCCGCCUCGUCAGCCCCGGGGCCGCGAGACGCCUGGCUUGCCGCUCCCACCCCGCCCCUGCGGCGCGCUCUCGCCCUCUUGGCGGGCCCCUUUCGAAACCCGGGGACGCGCGGGCAGCGGACCGUAGCCCAGCCUUCUCCAGUACUCAUCAAGAGAGACUUCAUGUCCUGGUCUCAAGGCCAAGGGAAAACUCAAAGCAGCACCUGAAAUAGCUUGCAGUUCUGCGGAGUGAACCGUUGGCGUGUGGAGGGAAGGCUCUUCAGCUAGUUUGUACUGCAAUGCCUCGGCUUCAGCUCCCCCCAGUAACUCCAAAGGACAGCCUUCAGCUUCAGUAAGCGAGGCUUUUAUAACAGCCGUAGGCUGUGGCCCACUCCGGUGUGGUUAACUUGGUACGGCUUGCUAGCAAGCAGAAAGUCACAGAUCUAUUCUCUAGUUUGAUGGAAGUUAUUCACAGAUCACAAAACUGUCAGAAAUGCCCACAUAGACUUCACCUACCUGCAUAACUUCCAUUCUUGGCACAAGCCCAAUCUGGAGAAUGUACGUGACCAAUUAUAAACUAAAUGCACACAUGUUACUGAAGAGCUUCUUUAGGCCAGAUAAAUCAACUGAAUACACACCAAGAUAUGUAUGUCUGGGAUUACGGCAGAAUCUAGAAACUAAUUCAAAGCAUCUUUUAUUAACUGUUCAGUAUGCUCUCACUCUGCUUAGUCUGACUAAAUGUCUGUUUUUGAUACUUAAGAUUCAAAUCAUUUAACAGGUAGUUGUGUUCCUACUCUGUGCCAGGCUGGAUCCUGGAGAUGCAAAGCCUAAACAAGAAGGCAGAAACAAAAAAAGGGUUUGUGUUUCCUCCUCUAGAAGACAGAAUCAUUUAAAAUUUUUUUAAGGCGAAUAUCUGUUUAUUUUUAUUUAUUUAUUUUAGCCUCACCGCGCUGGCAUGUGGGAUCCUAGUUCCUGACAAGGGAUGGAAUCCCCCUACCCCAACCCCGCAUUGGUAGCAAGGAGUCUUCACCACUGGACCAGAAGGGAAGUCCCCAGGAAGAGAAUAUCUUGAUAAGACUUUAGAAAAAUAAUUCUGAAGCAUGGUGCAUAUUGGAUUGAAUCUGAGGUUACUAGUUAGGAGGCUGUAAAAAUAAUCCAGACAGGAGGUGGAGAGAGUCUGAACUAAUG
ensembl:lncRNA